CGCCACCCCAUUCCACAGCCUGAGGUGCCACCAAAGCCAUAAGCCCAGGGGAGUCUCUCACACCCCAUUCUCCUAGGGCCCAUGUACCCCACGCCCACCUCCACCCCAGGAGCCGAAGGCCGGCAGGGAGCCUGGAGAGCCUCCUUGAUGGGAGAACUGCGGAGCUUGCCCCUCGGAAAAGUGCAUGGGGUGGAGAACAGGGAAGGAGAAAAAAACAACAACUGGGUACUCGCAGCCCCACCGCGGUGUCCGCUUCGCCGGUGGGAGAGGAUCCUCGCCGCCCUGAAUCCUUGAAAUCCUUGCCGAGCAUCUGCUCUGUACAGGCCGUGUACUAAGUGCUAGAGAGAUGGUGUGGGGUAGAUAAUGGCUUCCAGAGAUGUUCACGUCCUGAUCCACAGAUCCUGUGAGUAUGUUACCCUGCAUGGCAAAAAGGAUGUUGCAGAUAUGAUUAAGUUAAGAAUCUUGAGAUGGGAAGGUCAUCAUGGAUUAUCAGGGUAGGCCCAAUGUAAUCACAGCGUCCUUUUAAGAAGGAGGCAGGAGGAUCAGAGUCAGAGAAGGAAGUGUGGCGACGGAAGUGGAGGUCAGAGCAAUAUGGCCAUGAGCCAAGGGAUGCCAUCGGCCUCUGGAAGUUGGAGAAGGCAAGGAAAGGGACCAUUCCCUAGAGCCUCCAAGAGGAACACAGCCCAGCCAGCACCUUGGUUUUAGCGCAGCGA
rnacentral:lncRNA from 1 species